rnacentral:tRNA from 1 species
GAUGGUGUAGCUUAGUGGUAGAGCGCAUGCUUAGCAUGCAUGAAGUCAUGGGUUCAAUCCCUAGCACCGCCA